CUCUCCUCGCCAGUCCAACCAGAGGCUAUGAUAUACUGCCACUACCUGCUGUGUGUGUGUGUGUGUGUGGGGUCCUGGCAGUGUUUGCAGCACAGAAGGUUUGAGGGUCUUAUACCUGCAGAGAGAGAGAUGAAUGUGGAGUCGUAACACUGGACGCCAAGGUGAUGCAGCCACCUGUCCUGAGUGUGUGUGUGUGUGUGUGUGUGAUACUAAGACGAUGCCAGCUUGUGUUUGGUAACACAAGUUUUGAGGUUGAGCUACGACACAAAAAUAUAGGUCAGACCCAAAUAGAUGAAGGAAUACCAAGAUCUGUUCAUGAGUAUCUAUCCAUCCAUCCAUCCAUCUAUCCAUCCAUCUAUCUAUCCAUCCAUCUAUCUAUCCAUCCUUCCAUCCAUCCAUCUAUAUACCUACCCACCGAACUAACUAUCCAUCUAUCCACAUACAUAUCAUGAUAUUAUCAACCAAUCACCACGUCUCCGGUAUUUAAACGUGCUUCCUCCUGCAGCAGCAGGAGAGACAUUUUGCUGAGAAACUGCUGCCAGACGAGCAUCAAGAACAUGGCAUUCAGAAAAAAUAAAAGUGUUUCCUGUGAGGGAUCGAAUGUCUCUGCAGGAUCAUUUUCAUACCGCACGCAAAUACACGCUGCUAAAAUAAAACCGCAGAGUGUACGGGGGGGCGGUUAGCGCCAUGAGUCAGUGGAUGGGUUUGGGAUUAGCCGUUAGCUGCUAAUCUAGCGCUUCUCCAGGGGAGCAAAGUCCUCACCUUCGAGGUCCCGCCCCCUAAAACAACAAAAACAAACACCAGUGUUAUCGGGACGUGUUUGACACACACACAGACCUACUCCGCCUCAUGCACACACACACACGUGCACAGCAAACACACACGUGCACAUACCAGGGCAGAAGAAGCACACUUCACUGUCUGAGAAUUUGUGAAUGGAAAAUUGGUUUAACACACUUGGCCGAGCAGCAUGGACUUCCUACGCGUCUCCCCGGAGGACAGGAGCGUCUAUCUGUCUGUCUCUGUCUGCCUGUCUGUCUGUCUUACUGUCCCUGUCUCUAUCUGUCCCUCAUGUCAUGUUGCUGUGUACCUUUGUACCUGUGUGUGUACCUUUGUUGUCCUUCUGCUGGUCUGCUAGUUUUUUAUCAGACGUUCAUCUCUUUCGCUGUCUCUUGGUAAACUAUUAAAUAUGUAGUUGUAUUAAACUAUAAACAUGUUUUGAUGGCAUGAAAUAUAAAUCAAUUAAAUUAAAUUAAAAAAAUCAAGUAAUCAAGCAAAAUUUUAAAUAAAAACACCCCCAAUGGUCACAGGGACAGGCAGAGAUUAGAUGAGGGGAGAAGAUGAAAGGAAGAGGAGAGGAAGAAAGGAUACGAGGAAACAGAAGAAGUAGAAAGGUCCAAUAAAAUAAACAGAAGGCCGAGAAGAUGACGAGGACUCGCUCUCAAGGUCGCUGAUAUCACACGUCUUCCCCCUGUGUGUGUGGGUGUGUGUGUGUGUAUGUACUGCUGUGUGUAGCACGUAAUACAAAGAAGGUCCCAGCUGAGAGGGAGACAUGAAACACAAACACACACACAAACACACACACAGUUCAUCCAAUUUUCUCACAAUCCUCCGUUCUCAAGGCUACGAGUGAGUGUGUGUGCGUUUGUUUGUGUGCGUGUGUUUGUGUGUGUGUGUGUGUGUGUGUGUGUGUGUGGCAACCCUUGGUUAAUGGACGGAACUGACACCACUGUGUGAGACAGUGUGUGUGUGUGUGUCCAUUAGCAUCAGAGCCCUGGGAGAGAACAGAGGGUGAUGAAGGUUUUAAAAGAUAGACAGACAGACAGCCGGACAGGUAGACAGAAGGAGAGACAGACAGACAGGUAGACAGAAGGACAGACAGGCACACAGGUGGACAGAAGGACAGACAGGCAGGAGGACCUGAUGUCACAUCUUGUCACACACACGACUCAACACGUUGUCAUUCACAGCUGCUGCGUCGCUACGACAACGGUAGACGAGGACAUCCCCCCUGCUUGGACGUAUCAAACACAAACGCACGCACGCACACACACACACACACACACACACAUAGACAGACGCACACAAACGCGCACACAAGAAGAACCCCGUAACAGAGUAAAAAACAAAAGUCACAUAUAGUAAAAAUAAAAGAAAGACUCCAUAAACAGGAGAGAAAAGUAGAAAGACAGAACAGAGAGACAGGACAGAGAGACAGGACAGAGAGACAGACAGUCAGAGAGACAGACAGACAGUAAACCAACCUGGCCGGCUCUCCCUCUCUUCCACCGAAAGCAUUCCUCUGUGUUCACACACUCCUUCCAUCGCCACGGUAACAGAAACACCUCUCUCUCUCUCUCUCUCUCUCUCUCUCCCUCUCUCUCUCUCUCUCUCUCUCUCUCUCCCUUCCUUUUGCUUUCAGUGGCACACACACAUGUGCUUGCACACGCAGACACACACACAUGCACUCCCAGUUUGAACUCCCAUUAUGUCCAUCUGGUCAGCAUCCAUCCGUCCAUCCAUCCGUUCUCCAGUCCGUCCAUCACUUGUGUGUUUACAUCUGAGCGUGCUCAUUCCCCAGACAGCCGCGCGUGUGUGUGUGUGUGUGUGUGUGUGUGUGUGUGUGUGUAGCAGAGUGGGAGCCCUAGAGAAACACUCUUCUUGCCACAGGAGUGAAGCCCAGGCGUGACGCAGGGCCAGAAAUAGAUGGAGGGGCCGCGGCGGGGGGGGCGGCGCCAGGCCAACAUGUAUGGCUCUUUUUCAAGGACGUGCUCACAAACAAACACACACGCGCACACACACACACUUCCACUGUAUGUAAACACACUGUGUAUGCACAACCUGCAUAUGAAACGCACAUGUUUGUACUGUUGCAUGUAUCUUUGUGUACUUUUUACUAAUUGCCAAAUAACUUGAAGGUACAAAACAUUUCUACUUAAUGAAAAAACAACGGGCUGCGGUUUGGUGUGUUGACGAUGUGGUGGGACAAGGACUCUGGAAGGAGGAGACAUCGGUCGUCAUGACUACAAGCAACUUGUCCACUAACUUUUUAAAGUUAAAGCACUUCACGUGUGUAGAGGUAACACACAGCGCCGCGUGUGUAUUGUACAUGUGUACUCUAAUCUGUACUGUGUAUGUUAGCCCUGUCAUGUGUGUGUGCGUGUGUGUGUGUGUUACACAGGGACCUGUUGUGCACUGAGAAUACUAAACAUUGUUUCAUAUGAAUGUCAGAUUCAUGGAUGCAGUGGUCAGGGGGGAUAUGUAGUCGCAGUGUGUGUGUGUGUGUGUGUGUGUUUGUGUGUCCUGCCAUGCGGUAUAUUUGCAAAGCUCAGCACUUCGCCUGCUUUAACAUUGUAUAUACUAUGUAUUAUGUAUAGACCCACACAGUUAUGAAUUAUGUACACGUGCAUUCCACAGUGUUUCAUUUCACAACAUCACCUGCAAUUCUGUCCACUGGACAUCAAUGAACAGAUGGACGCACACGUCCUCACACCAGGACGCUUAUAGUUCAGCACUUCUUAGUUGACUUUGAGCUUGCAAACAUGCGCACACACACUAAAACACACACACACACGCACGCACACACACGCACACGCAGAGCGGCGGGUUAUGAAACUAUGUUGAAUCGAGGGUCUUACAUAAAUACUUGAUCGUAUCUGGAUGCUCUCAGUGUGAAAAGAUAUAAUCCGCCUUGUUUCAGUUGGAGGGAGAGAGGUAGGG
ensembl:lncRNA